UUAGCAAGGUUCUGAAAACCGGACCGGACCAGCCGGUUCGACCGGUUUAACCGCGAACCAACAAUGCAAACGGUCCGAUCCUUGUCUAAUAACCGCUGUGGGAAAAACCGGAUAAAAACCGGUCGGUUGGGUCGGACCGAUGACCGGCCGGUUUUCUAAAACAGUGAAACGCCGUUUUUACUUGUUAAAAAGAAAAAAAAAAUACCCGACCCGCUUACCAUUCGAGAACCCUUCCUUUCUUCCCCCAUUCACUCAUCUCACUUCUCAGUCUCACUCGAGAACCCUAGCCCUCCCAAAUCUCAGCCCAGUAGACACCGCCGUCGCCGGGGUCCUCAGAUUGUCAUCGUCACUGCCGUCGCCUGGAGUCUUCCCACAGUCAUUCAUCUCAGUCUCACUCCACACGUGAACGGUGAACCACUGAACCCUAGCUUCGUAGCCCAGUAGCCGUCCGUUGUCCCCGUGGUCCUCUGGUCGUCAGCGCCACCGCCGUCGCCUGGUCCUCAGCACCGCCGCUUCGUCUUCGCUGGCCUCUCGCUUCGUCUUCGCUGGUCUUUGCUUCGUCAGCACCCAGGUAGUAUCAUCAAACUCUAUUGCGCGAGCUUGAGAAAAAAGAAGAAAAGAUGAGAAUAUGUGAAUCAAGAAUGGAAGAAGGAAGAAGGAAGAAGAGAAUGAUGAUGCUGCUGUUUCAGCAGCCUUGAUUUGGAAGCUUCUUAUACAAGUAACCACCUUCAAUGACGAAACCAAUCAAAGUGAUGCGCAAGGGUUCACAUUCUAUUCUUGUGUUACAAGGUACUUCACUACUAAGUCAAAGGCGAGUAGGCGACACUCUCAUCUCGUUUCAUUUUCCAAAUACACAAAGGCUGAAAGGGUUUUGCCCUCUUUCAAUAGUGAUUGACAUGGUCUCUUCCUCUUCCUCUGCCGUCUCUCUCAUCCGCUCAUCUUCGCCAUGUAACCCGCUUCUGCAGCUGCCUCGCAACUUGCUUCCGCUUCUACUGCGCCGCGCAACCCACUUCCCCGCCGUCGCGCAACCCGCUUCCCCGCCGCCGCACAACCCGCUUCCCCAGCUUUCUAUCAGUUGGAACAUUUAAAAGAAUACAAAAAUAGGUUGGAGAGGAUUCUUGGUAAACAGAAGAUCAUAUGAAGAACGCUAUAUUUUUCAGAAGUGCAGGGACAAAUGACUUUGUUAUUAAUUAUUUUACAUUGCCAAUACGAAGAAAGACAGAGGAUAAGUUAUUGUUUGGAACGGUGUAGAAUUGAAGGAAGUAAUUGGUAUCCAGAGGAAGAGAAAGAAGAGGACAUAGGAUAAGUUAUUGUUUUGCAGCAUGAAGCAGCAGCUACCUGGCGUUGAUGCUAAAUUGCAGAAGAUUACAGAGAAGAUAAGAGAAGAGAAGAGAAGAGAAGCAUUUCUGCUAGGGUUUUUCAUUCAAUUUCAUUUAGCGCCAUUCUCUCAUCCUCUUCCUCUACUGUAUCUCUUGUUCGCCAAUCCUCGCCGCCACAUCACGCUUCAGACGACGCCGCAACCUGCUUCCACCGCCGCCGCGCAAGACGCUGCCUCAACGCUUGGAGGUAUAUGAUGAGAAUGCUUCGUACAGUAGCAAUGAAGUGGUGUAAUAUGUUCUGAUCUGAAAUUAGCAAUAGCCUUGCAACAACAGGAUAUCACUACAUUCCAAAUAUGUAUAAGCCACUGCCUUUUCACUUUCAUCUUUCUUUCUGGUUAAUUUUUAUGAAUCUAAGAUGAGUUUGUGUUGUGAAAUUGGAUUCUGAGUUUUCAGAUUCUAAGUUUUCAGAUGGCUUUAAGAUCAAGGAAUGCAGGACUGUCUACUAACAGCAAUAACGCAGAAUGGAUUGAACCAUGAUCUUUAGGGCAAUUGCUUUUAAUGCUAUAUCCUUCGGUGUGUCUUGUUGGAUUUAUCUUAAACUAGGCUAAUAUCUUUGGUCCUAUAUGAAGUAUUUGGUCAAGAAAACUACUCUUACCAACAUUUUUAAUUCUCCCAGUUGCCCUUACUAACAUUCAUCUUUCAUGUUCAUGUCAUUUGGAGUUGGUUUUUACUUUUUACCAUUAAAAAAGGAAACCGGCAUUCCUUCUGAAACCAUCUACACUCACAUUUUCAACGUCUCUUUCCUAACUUUUUUUUGUAUGGAAUUUCUAAAAAAUAUUUUUUAGGUGAGUACUAUUGUUACUUUUAGAACACUAAAAUAAAUAUAAUACAGAUCCUAGACAUGGAGUGCUUAUCAGUUUCUAGUAUUGAGUGGUGUUUGCAUCUCCCUGAUUAUUAUCAGUGCUGUUUUAAUUCAUCAUAUUCUAUAUGUAAUCGAUGUGGUGGUGAAUUAAAUUGACUUUCAGCAAGGAAAGAUUCGGACUGCGUCAAGCAGAGACUUGAUGGUCAGAGAACCGGGAUAAGGUAUACAAAAGGUACAAUGUUCAUAGUAGUGCAGUCAAGUCUUCCAACCAAGCAGGGGCACCGCAUAGGACAGAAGGUGCUGGUUCUAUUGAGGGACACCGCACAAGAAUUCUGUUUAAGAGCAAACUAUAAAAAAUAUUGGUUUUAUUUUAUAGUGUUAGUUUGAAUCACACUUUUGUUUCUUAUAAAGGUUGAUAAUGCUCCCGUGAAUCGCACUCUUCUGUCUAUCAUUUAAUUAUUUUUCCUUUAUAAUAUCCCAUUUUUGUAUGGAGGGAGGAGGAUCCGACGUGGAAGUGACAUGGAAGCAUUUUUUAUAUUCUUUCUUUUGCUUCUUUUCUUUUAACUUUUUCUAAUCCAAAUAUGUAUAGCAAGAGCCAUUUUACUGCCGUGAUAAGAGCUAAACACGAGCUCAUCUCUCUUUUUUGGUUUUCAAUAAUUUUUGCUUCUCUCUUUGAUUCGGUGCCUA